rnacentral:lncRNA from 1 species
GGGGACAGGGGACGCUGAGCAUUGAGGGGGCAGCAGGGAGCGCCCUCUCUGAGCCACUCCCCUUCUCUCCCAGGCCAGAGCCACCAAGCCGCCGGAGGGCACCCAGGCCGUGGGGCCAGAGGAGCGGGAGGCGCCCCCUAGGGGCCGGAGGAGCGUGCCACGGCCCACCCUGAAGCUGGAGGAGGAGGAGGAGGAGGAGGAGGAGGAAGACGAGGAGGAAGAGGAGGACGACGAGGAGGAGGAGGACGAGGAGGAGGAGGAAGCAAAGGCUCUGGAGAGGAAGGAGGCUUCUCGGGGGAUGGGGGAAGCCUGGGCCCCAGGCCCUCAGGCGAGCAGCUCACCCCAGGAAAUCAGGGGGUCCUGGCAGGAGAAGGGGGGGCUUAUGGUCCCAGCACCCCAACAGACAGGAGUGCCCAGAUCCCCAGCACCCCAGGAAGUGGGAGGGAGCCGAUCUCCGACACCCCAGGAAGUGGGGUGGCCUGAGGCCCAGGGAAUGGGGGGCCCCAGAUCACCAGGGCCCCAAGAAAGGGGGUCAGCCCAGGCCCUGGAGCCCCAGGAGACAGAGGGGCCCAUAGCUCCUGAGCCCGAGGAAAGGGGGGUGACCAGGCCCUCGGAAUCCCAGGGAAGUGGGACAGCUGUGACUCCAGCCCCUGAGGAGAAGGGGGAGCCCAGCCUGCUAGACCCCCAGGAAAAGGGGGAGCCCAGUCUAAUGGCUCCCCAGAAGAAGGAGGAGCCCAGCCUGCCAGCUUCCCAUGAGAAGGGGGAGCCCAGCCUGCCAGACCCCCAGGAAAAGGGGAAGUCCAGCCCAACAGCCCCCCACCAGAAGGGGGAGCCCAGCCUACUGGCCCCCCACGAGACGGAGGAGCCCAGCCCACCAGCCCCCCAGGCAAAGGGGGAGGCCAGCCCACCGGCCCACCAGGAGAAGGAGCAGCCCAGCCCAACGGCUCCCCUGCUGGAGGAUUUCUCAGAGAAGAAGGGAGUGGCUGGACUCCAGGAAAACAAGGGGGUCCCCCAGGAGGAGGCAGAGGAGCCCCCUGAGAUCUCACAAGAAGAGGGGGUGGCUGCAACCGCCAGCUCCCCAGCCCCUCCCCAGCUGACAGAAGGGGAGGCACCAAUGGCCCCCCCUGAGGAGGAUGAGCCCCCUCCCCCACUGCUGACCAAGGAGGCCCCCCCCAGUCAGAAAAGGCCAUCGGGGACCCAGCCAGCAUCACCUUCCCCUCCCCCCCAGCGCCAGCAGAGGGGUGGGUCCAACUCAGACUCCGACUCAGACUCCACUUCCUCCGGAUCCCGCUCCAGCCGUUCCGAGUCGCCCGCCAGGAAGCACCGGGCCUCACGCUCCAGCAGCAGCAGAAAGUCGCACAGCCCUGACGCCUCACGGGCUGGCCCCAGCUCCCCACACACCAAAGAGCCCUCCCCAGCAAGACAGCAGGAGGCGCUGGAGAGUCCCAUGGCAGAGGGCAGACCGGCCACCUCGCCCCCGCCGGCCCCCCAGAGACGCCCCAGCCACGGGCACCGGCACAGCCCGUUGUCGCAGCAGGGCGGCUCAGAGACCCCAGGGGGCCCAGCCAGGGCAGUGCCCACGGGGGACCCGCCGCGCCAGGCAGAGCAGAGGCAGCGUGCAAGUAGCCAGGAGGAGAAGGAGGAGGUGCCUAUGGAGUUGGAGCCCCGCCAGGCUGGCACUAGCCCCCCGACCGGCCCCACUGCUCAGCCCCCCGGCCCCAACGAGCUCCCCGACGGGGGGCCUGAGGACGAGGAGAAGAAAGAGAGCAUCCGGCCCAGCGGGCACACACGCCAGAGAGAUGCGGAGAGAGAGACAGAGAGCGGGCGGGGGGAGGGGAGCAUGAACCCCGGCGUCCGGGCGAUUCAAGCUCCCAGCUGUGUGGAGCCCCUGGAGACCCUGCUUCUGCGCAGCUCCGCUGGGAUGUCAUCUGCAUGUGGGGCCGGGGCAUCUGCUGCUCAUGGACCUUGGCCCCUGGGGUCUCCAGGCUGA